rnacentral:tRNA from 1 species
UCCUUGGUAGUCCAGUGGUUAAGACUCUGCACUCCCAAUGCAGGGGGCAGGGACUCGAUUCCUGGUUGGGGAA